rnacentral:rRNA from 1 species
GAUGAACGCUAGCUACAGGCUUAACACAUGCAAGUCGAGGGGCAGCAUGAACUUAGCUUGCUAAGUUUGAUGGCGACCGGCGCACGGGUGAGUAACACGUAUCCAACCUGCCGAUGACUCGGGGAUAGCCUUUCGAAAGAAAGAUUAAUACCCGAUGGCAUAGUUCUUCCGCAUGGUAGAACUAUUAAAGAAUUUCGGUCAUCGAUGGGGAUGCGUUCCAUUAGGUUGUUGGCGGGGUAACGGCCCACCAAGCCUUCGAUGGAUAGGGGUUCUGAGAGGAAGGUCCCCCACAUUGGUACUGAGACACGGUCCAAACUCCUACGGGAGGCAGCAGUGAGGAAUAUUGGUCAAUGGACGAGAGUCUGAACCAGCCAAGUAGCGUGAAGGAUGACUGCCCUAUGGGUUGUAAACUUCUUUUAUACGGGAAUAAAGUGAGGCACGUGUGCCUUUUUGUAUGUACCGUAUGAAUAAGGAUCGGCUAACUCCGUG